UACGUAGGGUGCGAGCGUUAAUCGGAAUUACUGGGCGUAAAGCGUGCGAAGGCGGUUCGUUAAGUCAGAUGUGAAAGCCCCGGGCUCAACCUGGGAACUGCAUUUGAAACGGGCGGGCUUGAGUAUGGCAGAGGGGGGUGGAAUUCCGCGUGUAGCAGUGAAAUGCGUAGAGAUGCGGAGGAACACCGAUGGCGAAGGCAGCCCCCUGGGCCAAUACUGACGCUCAGGCACGAAAGCGUGGGGAGCAAACAGG
rnacentral:rRNA from 1 species